CUGGGAGGGGCCCUUUGACCUUGACCCCGCUCCUUGAAAACGCUGGAGCCGCUGAGAGCUUGCAGAGCUUGGCGUUGGCUUGGUUUGAUUUAUUUUGAUUUUCCCUAUUGAUGGCAAAGGAAAAAAAAAAAAAAAAGAAUGUAGGGGAGGUGGCACAGGGAAAUAAAGUGGGACAGAAGAGGAGAAAGAGUAUUGGCAAAAGGAAAAGGAACCGAACACCCAGUGCGUAAUAAUGAGAGCGAUAACAGCAAUGUUGGGUGCCGACCCUGGGCCAGGUCCUGAGCUGGCAGGUUGCAGGGAUUUACAGCAUGACUCCUGUGAGGUUUGAUACUCCUCUUUUCAUCUCACACGUGACGAACUGGAAGCACAGACGUUUAGUUGUUUCCUGAGGGUCACUCAGCAAGCAAACUGUGGUGCUCACGUUGCAACCCAAGGCUGGGGACUCCAAGGGUAAUACGUGUAUCUGUUUCUGCCACAAGCAGUGUCCUUGGAAGUCUUACAACUCCACAGACCACGUACUUCCUGGGCCAAAGAGCACUCCUAGUCUUUGGGGGGAUAGAAACUGAGAGAAGCAAAGAGAGACCUCCACCAUUCCAAGGUGGGUGAGCCGAGCAGCAGUAGUGAUGCCAGGCAGGCGAGCCCCAAAGUGCAGCUUAGCGCCUGGGUUCUUGGCUUUGCCCAGGAAAGAAUUCAAGGGCAAGCCAGAGGUAGAAGGAAAACGGCUUUAUUGAAGAGGCCGUGUUACAGCUCCGUGACCGCUCCCGCAGAGCAGGGCUACCCCAUAGACAGAGAGUAGCAGCUCAGGGCAGUUUUGCAGUCGUAUUUAUACCUACUUUAAAUUGCAUGCAGAUUAAGGGGCGGUUCAUGCAGAAACUUCUCGGGAAGGGGUAGUAAUCAUUGGGUCGUUGCCAUGGAAAGGGG
rnacentral:lncRNA from 10 species